UAAAACAGUGAUUCCCUUAUGAUCACCGAAGUUAAGCAACAUUAAGCCUGGCAGGUACCUUGAUGGGUGACCGCUUGGGAAUAUCAGGUGCUGCAAG